UACGAAGGGUGCAAGCGUUACUCGGAAUUACUGGGCGUAAAGCGUGCGUAGGUGGUUUGUUAAGUCUGCUGUGAAAGCCCCGGGCUCAACCUGGGAAUGGCAGUGGAUACUGGCAAGCUAGAGUGCGGUAGAGGGUAGUGGAAUUCCGAGGUGUAGCGGUGAAAUGCGUAGAUAUCUGGAGGAACACCGGUGGCGAAGGCGGCAUCCUGGACCAACACUGACGCUGAGUGAGCGAAAGCCAGGGAGCAAAGCGGG
rnacentral:rRNA from 1 species